CGUGAGCUGGGUUUAGAACGUCGUGAGACAGUUCGGUCCCUAUCUUCCGUGGGUGUAGGAUACUUGAGAGGAGUUGCCCCUAGUACGAGAGGACCGGGGUGAACGAUCCACUGGUGGACCAGUUGUUAUGCCAAUAGCAGUGCUGGGUAGCUAUGAUCGGACAGGAUAACCGCUGAAGGCAUCUAAGCGGGAAGCCCCCCUCAAAACAAGGUAUCCCUGAGAGCCGAGGUAGACCACCUCGUCGAUAGGCCAGAGAUGUAAGUGCAGUAAUGCAUUCAGUUGACUGGUACUAAUUGCUCGAUAGGCUUGAU
rnacentral:rRNA from 1 species